AACAUGCAAGAUAGACCAAUGAGGUUUAAUAUAACAGUAUGAAAACUUUCAUUGAUAUGGUUUCAGGUUCUACAUUCUAAAUAACAUUUACAAAAUGAGCACUUGUGAAGAGUAGGUGUAGUUUCAAAGGAGAGUAUCCAUAUUUAUCUGAGAAGGCUCUGAAAAUCACCCUCCCCUUCUCCAACUGCAUAUAUGUGUGAGGCCAGUUUUUUUUUUUCCCACUUACUUCAACUAAAACAAAAGGGCACCAAACAUUUCAGGCAGAGGUAGUAGGAGAAACCAGUUGUCUUCCAAGAAGUCAGAAACUAGAGACAUUUGCAAAAGGAAUCUAUCAAGAGAUCCAAAGAGGAUACGCCUGUACACUUGAUAGAAAGCAAGAUGUAAGGGGCUCUCAGCGCGUCCCUGGGCUAAUAGAAAAGCAUCGCCUGGGAACCUACUGGAAAUGUUCAUCCUGCGGACCUACCCCAGUUCUACGGAGUCAGACAGUCUGCAGGCCCUCAGGAUGGAAACAAGCCAAGGAGCCCAGAAGCAGGGCCACGUCCAGGAAGCCAACAUUGCCCAGGAAAGGAACGAAGAAACCCAGAGGGACAGAGGCUCAAAAUCACUCCCAAGUGACGAUUCUCAAAUGCUUCAUCUGGGAGCCAAACCCGUUUUGACCCGCCUGCAAACUCCUCGUUGCCUCUUCCUCGAGGCGUCACCCCGUGUGUGUUAGCCUCUCAUGUUGUCUGUAAGGUCCAUCCUGUGCUUUUCGUUUGUGGGGGCACCUGUUUGGGGCUUGAGAGUUAUAGGUAUUGCUGAGUUUGCUUAGUUCUACUUAUAAAGAAAACAAAGCCAAAUGCUUUUGUUCCAGCUACAGAUCACUGGGGAGAAGGAAAAACCGUUCUUAAUCAUUUAGCCUGUCUUUCCUCUUCUUUCACAUUCCCUCUGUAUUCCUUUUUCAUCUUCACUUAAGAAAUGCCUUCUGCCCCUCCCCUGCUCAUGCUCUGUCUCAAAAAAAAAAAAAAUUAAAAAAUGCCCUUGGGAAACACCACUGAGGCUGAAGGGGGGUGGGGGAGACAAAGACGGGACUUGCCCUGGCGUGCUUUGCAGGUCAGGUGUAAGGCAAAGGAAGAAAACGGAACGUAUGAAAAGGAAGAACAUAUUUUUGUGAUUUUUUUUUUUUUUUGCUUUAAUCAAUAUGUUAGCAGGACGAAAAUUAAUCAGGUUUUUUAAGCUGAAACUGAGGGUGCGGAAGAAGGGGUAUGGUUGGUUGUCUUUAUCUGUGUUACAGUAGAAGCUCAGAGAAAGGGGCUCAAGCUGUGGCAGGAAGGAUCGGAGCACGAUUGAGUCAGGAAGGAGGGCCCGGGGUUGCUGGCCGUGGUGGUCCAGGACCAGUGACCCUGGACUUGAGCAAUGAGCUUCAGCUGAGGCUAAGGGCAGGGCUGCCCGUGAGCCUCUCGUGGGUUCCUGGAUGGCUUCUGCAGUCCCUUGCACAAUAAGGGUCUCCUGGCCAAUCACCACCCCGAGUUCAAAUCCUGGCUCUCUUCACUUUGACCAGUGUGAUUUGGGGCAGCUAAAUCCAUAGCUGAGGCUCUUUAGUGUAUCUGCUAACGCAGAGUGAUUUAAUGCCCUGCUCUGACCACGCUGCCUUACUAGGAUGUGUUACCCAUUUGUGGGACCCGGUGGCGAAGAAGAGGAGAAACGCCUCCUUCAAAACUUGCUGUCUAGACAAUUGACACAAAGCGUUAAAGCCCGCACAGGGCCCUUAGGGCAGAGCCCUGUGGCUCUGCCCCGGUCACACGCCCGCCCGGGAAGCCUGCUCUAUAUAGCCUGGAGGUAAUCAUCCCUGAGCCCCUGGGGGAUGGUCUGGCUCAGGAAGACUCAGAUUAAGCCAACACAAGUUGACCCUGUGCCGAGGACCCGGCAGGCCUCACGCUGCUCUGCACGGACCUGCUGUGAGCAGGUUACAGCGAUGGUUUGAAGCACACAGUCUGUUAUGGAUGUGUUUAAAUAGAUCUAAAAGCUUUCAGCUUGGUUUUUUUUUCCCCCCCAAGUUGAACCCCCAAGCUUACUAAGGCCAAAUGGGAUCACAAAUGCACUGCAUGGCCCAUCGUAGAAACCAACCGAAGUUUCCCCGUAUUUGUUCCCGGAAUCCCCCGCAAGAGGGUCAGGAGAUCGCUGCUUGCAGGGCUGGCCCUCGGUUUCCGCAACAGAGCGGGGGAAUCAAAAGCUCCGUAGCUACCGCAUGGGAACCUGCCUUUGUACCAAUGUCCCCAGAGGCUCUCACGCCUCCACGGCUUUCACCUGACUGCAGUGAACCCGAUACCCAUCGGCACCCUCCCCAUUUCAAAGAUAAUCUUCAUGCAUAAUUCCUGCUCGGCCGAAUGACGCCUAGCUAUCACCAGAAACGCGUGACCCUUAACAACGACAGCUUUUAUUUCCCAGAGCGAUGAGCAUCGCACCAAUUCGAACAACGCAAGCCACGGCGCACGAGCAUUUUCUAUGCGCCAAGCGCUUGUUUAAUCCCACAAUGACUUCCGAGGUGGGGAUUGCCCGCCCGUGUUCUAGGAAAGGAACCGGAUGCUCAGAGAGACUAAAAGACUUGGAGCCAGCAAGCGGCAGUGUUGUGAUGAAGCCUGGCUUUUUGGCGGGCCCAACAUCCACAGCGUUCCAUUCUUUCCACGUGAGACCCACUACCUUGCCAGGUAGGAAAAAAAUUACCAAUGCAGGUAAAUUGUCCCCAUAAACUUCCUUUCGUUUUUUUUGUGAUGUAGGUGCAUUGGCCUUCCUUGCAGCAAACUUGGAGCUUGGAGAAAGAACCUUCUGGAGGGCCACAGGGUCUCUUGCUUGGCAAGAGGCCCUCAAAGGAGAAGCAUUAUUGAACCGCACUGUUUUCUCUUGUCCGAAGCUAACCCCAGCAUAUGCCUCGUGAGACCUCUGUCACUACAUUUUUUAGUUAAUAAAUCUGGCUUAAAAUUCUCCACAGAUGACUGAUGCGAGAGACAAAGAGAUGCGUUUAAAACCUCCGAGUGGAGGUACGAGGAGAAAGCUGCAUAAGGUAACUGAGAAGUAAAACACCAAAGGAGGUUUGUAUUACAUCAGCUUCUCUCUUUAGUGCAGCGAUGGACAUUUGGGCUCUUUCCAUCCUUUGGCUGUUGUCGAUGGCGCUGCCACAAACAUGGGGGUGCAUGCGUCCCUUCGAAACAGCACACCUGUAUCCCCUGGAUGAAUGCCUGGUAGUGCAAUUGCUGGGUUGUAGGGGAGUUCUAUUUUUAGUUUUUUGAGUAUGGAGGAACCUCCAUACUAUUUCCCAGAGUGGCUGCACCAGUUAGCAUUCCCACCAACAGUGUGAGAGGGUUCCCCUCUCUCCGUGGCCUCGCCAACAUAUGUUGUCUCUUGUGUGGUUCAUUGUAGCCAUUCUGAAGGGGUGAGGUAGGAGGUGAUUGUGAUUUUGACCCGCAUUUCCCUGAUGAAAAGUGGUGAUGAACAUCUUUUCAUGUGUCUGUGGGCCACCCGGAGGUCUUCCUUGGAGAAAAGUCUGUUCAUAUCUUCUGCUCCUUUUUUAACUGGAUUAUUUGCUUUCCGGGUGUUGGGUUUUAUAGAUUGUUUAUAUAUUUUGGAGACUGUCCCUCUAUGAAGCAUGGCGUUUGCAAAUCUCUUCUCCCAUUCUUUAGGUUGACUUUUACGUUUACUGAUUGUUUCCUUUGCUACCCUGAAGCCUUUUAUUUUGAUGUAGUCCCGAUAGUUGAUUUUUGCUCGAAUGAGCGAAUUUUUAACCGUUCCUUUUCAUACAUAUGGAGCACAAGGAAGGAAGAAGAGACGUUGUAUAGCUUGGUCGUCUUUUUAUUUUAACUUUCAUCCCUUAGUUUUCAUCGUGAGCCAUGAGGGGAGGCAGAAUUAUGGACAUUUGAUACAAAUAACAUGGAUCAGACUCCAGAGUUCUAAUUUACUCCUGCCUAAUCAAUUUGGGUUAAUAAGAAUUGCUCAGCCUGCCUAUUCGUAUGUCUCAUAAUUAGCAUGCCUCACAAAAUUUGAUGGACAUUAGCAAAGAAAUAUAACCCAUGGCAAGAUGGAAAAGCAUACACACCUAUGCUUAAAGCAAAUACCUGUUCUUAUGAUUUAGUGUCAAUGAGUUACAUAACUGGCCAAAGUAAAUUUACUUAGAACUUUUCUUAAUUAAAGAAAUGUGUGAAUGUUGUUCUCUUUACGUCUUGGGUCUGGAUUUUCUCCUUCUACCACAAGACCAUGGGAUCGCCAGUAGAUGUUUAACAACCAGCUUGUCAGAGGCAGAAAAAAAAGAAUUUGCAGCAUUUGCUGAUUUCCAUGCCAUAAAAACUCCCACAUGGCUGACUUUAGCUGUGCGCAUGAAAUAACUGAAACAAAAGAUGGGAAGAAAUGCAAAUAAUCAGCUCUUACAAAUGACUAUACCCUGGUUCCUGCACACAACGGUCCAUAAUUAUUUUUGAACUGAUAGGGACUUUAUUGGUACCUAUAGUUUCCCAUAGAUUUAGUUGACUUUCUUUAAUUUUGCGUAUUUUCUCAAUGUGAAAAUA